rnacentral:rRNA from 1 species
GCGGUGGAUGAUGUGGUUUAAUCGAUGCAACGCGAAAACCUUACCCACCUUUGACAUGUAUGGAAGUUUCCAGAGAUGGAUUCGUGCUCGAAAGAGAGCCAUAACACAGGUGCUGCAUGGCUGUCGUCAGCUCGUGUCGUGAGAUGUUGGGUUAAGUCCCGCAACGAGCGCAACCCUUGUCAUUAGUUGCUACAUUCAGUUGGGCACUCUAAUGAGACUGCCGGUGACAAACCGGAGGAAGGUGGGGAUGACGUCAAGUCCUCAUGGCCCUUAUAGGUGGGGCUACACACGUCAUACAAUGGCCGGUACAAAGGGUCGCAAACCCGCGAGGGGGAGCCAAUCCAUCAAAGCCGGUCGUAGUCCGGAUCGCAGUCUGCAACUCGACUGCGUGAAGUCGGAAUCGCUAGUAAUCGUGGAUCAGCAUGUCACGGCGAAUACGUUCCCGGGUCUU